UUAAAUCACGCUGAAACACCGGUUCUCGUUCGAUCACCGAAGUUAAGCAUCGUAGAGCCAGGUCAUUACUUAGAUGGGGGACCGCUUGGGAACACCUGGUACUGUAAG
rnacentral:rRNA from 1 species